rfam:Oryza punctata chromosome 1, whole genome shotgun sequence.
AAAGAGUGCAGUUUUGCACCGUUCAUGUUCAACGUUUGUCCGUUCGUCUUAUUUGAAAAAUUUUUAUGAUUAGCAUUUUUAUUAUUAGAUGAUAAAAUAUGAAUUGUACUUUAUGUGUGACUAAUUUUUUAAAAAAAUUCAUAAUUUUUUCAAAUAAGACGUUCGGUCAAAUAUUGGACACGGAAACACACGACUGCACUUAAA